GAUGAACGCUGGCGGCGUGCUUAACACAUGCAAGUCGAACGAAGCACUUUAUUUGAUUUCCUUCGGGACUGAUUAUUUUGUGACUGAGUGGCGGACGGGUGAGUAACGCGUGGGUAACCUGCCUUGUACAGGGGGAUAACAGUUGGAAACGGCUGCUAAUACCGCAUAAGCGCACAGCAUCGCAUGAUGCAGUGUGAAAAACUCCGGUGGUAUAAGAUGGACCCGCGUUGGAUUAGCUAGUUGGUGAGGUAACGGCCCACCAAGGCGACGAUCCAUAGCCGACCUGAGAGGGUGACCGGCCACAUAGGGACUGAGACACGGCCCAAACUCCUACGGGAGGCAGCAGUGGGGAAUAUUGCACAAUGGGCGAAAGCCUGAUGCAGCGACGCCGCGUGAGCGAAGAAGUAUUUCGGUAUGUAAAGCUCUAUCAGCAGGGAAGAUAAUGACGGUACCUGACUAAGAAGCACCGGCUAAAUACGUGCCAGCAGCCGCGAUAAUACGUAUGGUGCAAGCGUUAUCCGGAUUUACUGGGUGUAAAGGGAGCGCAGGCGGUGCGGCAAGUCUGAUGUGAAAGCCCGGGGCUCAACCCCGGUACUGCAUUGGAAACUGUCGUACUAGAGUGUCGGAGGGGUAAGCGGAAUUCCUAGUGUAGCGGUGAAAUGCGUAGAUAUUAGGAGGAACACCAGUGGCGAAGGCGGCUUACUGGACGAUAACUGACGCUGAGGCUCGAAAGCGUGGGGAGCAAACAGGAUUAGAUACCCUGGUAGUCCACGCCGUAAACGA
rnacentral:rRNA from 1 species